CAGGUGUCUCGUCGCCACCACCUCACUCUCCUCCGCCCGUUGAUGAGCAGGCCGGGGGCGGAAGCUGCAAAGCUGGGAAAUCGAGCUCCGCGGCGAGGGAGGGCGGCUCCGGAGUCUCCUCGCCAUCACCCCCCCCUGCUCCGCCCGUCGAUGGGCAGGCCGAGGGCCGAAUCUUCGAAGCCGGAGGAUCGAGCUCCGCUGCUGCGCACGCCAGGAGCAGGCUGGAUUGCCGAAGGCGAAGAAGACGUUCUUGAGCAAGAUAAUCAGCUUCAGCAAGAACAAGCUUUUUUGUAGAAAAGGAAUCGGAAGCUCGGAGAGACCUCACGUGAAUCGACAGGCAAUGUCUUUCGAGGGCGCCCUUGAUUAUUGUGCCGAACAGAUUCGUGCAAUUCAUUUACACGAAAGAGUAGAUCCUGUGAAUGUGUUGGACUUUCGUGGUCUCUACUCAGACUUUAGGCCAGUGAAAAUUGACGGGGAGUGUUUCUACAGGAGCUUCAUAAUUUCCUAUCUUUGUUUAUGCCGAUGCACGACAGGAGCAAGUUCUUGAUAGGCAAGACACAAAUGAGGAAGAAUGCUUCCUUGCAGCUAUCGAAGAGGUGGCUGAGGAGGAACAUGCACGUUUUGGAUGGGCCUCUGAAUUUUCUAGUAGCCACAAAGCAUUUAAGGAGUUGAUAAAGAAAGUAAAGAGCUGGAAGAAAAAACGCAGAUUGAUCCCCGUAUUAACUGACAGAUACCUUAAGCGGAAACUUCUCAAGUUCUUCAGCACUUACGAUCGAACAGAAGACAGCGAGAAAACACUUCUCAACUUAUCCUUCAGUCAUCAACCUAUCUUUCCCUCAGUUCAUCCCAAUUAAUGUUUCUGACACAUUUUUGGUGGUCAGUUCUUGUUUUCCUCAGGUUAGUAGCAGCUAUCUGGUUAUGCUCGCACAUGGCGGACUAUGAAGAGGUUAUACCUGGACUUGGAGAAAAUGACAGUGUGACAGAUGCGUACCCCUUUGCGUCGCCACCCCCUCCCCCCCCAACCCAAGCCAGUAGCCCACCUUUGAGACCUCCCUUGCCGCCGGCAAGUGCCGCGGUGGCGGCGAACCCAAUGCCAAAGGCUCCUGGGCGGGUGGUCGUUGCGGGAUCUCCCGUGAAGCGGAGGGGCGCUUCAUGUGGGGAUGAUGAAGGCAGCAGUUAGGGCGGCGCCCCUACUGUGCAGCGGCGAUCGAGGCUCCAUUGCCGGCAGGAUGGUCGGCUUGGAGAUGGAUGGUGGCGGUGGCGGCACUUGAUAUGUCUCCAACGUAUCUAUAAUUUUUUAUUGUUCCAUGUGAUUAUAUUAUCUGUUUUGGAUGUUUUAUAUGCAUUAAUAUGCUAUUUUAUAUUAUUUUUUGGACUAACCUAUUAACUUAGAGCCCAACGCGAGUUCCUGUUUUUUCCUUGUUUUUGAGUUUCGCAGAAAAAGAAUAUCAAACGGAGUCCAAACGAAAUGAAAUCUUCGCGAUGAUUUUUCUUGGACCAGAAGACAACCAGCAGACUUGGAAAUGAAGUCGGAGGAGCCACGAGGCGGCCACAAGGACGGAGGACGCGCCCAGGAGGGUAGGGUGCCCCCACCCUUGUGGGGCCCCCGUGGACCUACUGACCUAAUUUUUUCGCCUAUAUAUUGCCAAAUAUCCCCAAACCACCAGAGGCAUCCACGAAAACACUUUUCUACCGCCGCAACCUUCUGUACUCGUGAGAUCCCAUCUAGAGACCUUUUUCGGCACCGUGCCGGAGGGGGAUUCGAUCACGGAGGGCUUCUACAUCUACUCUAUUGCCCUUCCGAUAAAGCGUGAGUAGUUUACCACAGACUUACGGGUUCAUAGCUAGUAGCUAAUGGCUUCUUCUCUCUCUUUGAUUCUCAAUACCAUGUUCUCCUCGAUGUUCUUGGAGAUCUAUUUGAUGUAAUACUUUUUUGCGGUGUGUUUGGCGAGA